GAUGAAGAACGUAGCGAAAUGCGAUAAGUAGUGUGAAUUGCAGAAUUCUGUGAAUCAUCGAAUCUUUGAACGCACAUUGCGCCCCUUGGUAUUCCAUGGGGCAUGCCUGUUCGAGCGUCAUUUGUACCUUCAAGCUUUGCUUGGUGUUGGGUGUUUGUCUCGCCUUUGCGUGUAGACUCGCCUUAAAAUAAUUGGCAGCCGGCGUAUUGAUUUCGGAGCGCAGUACAUCUCGCGCUUUGCACUCAUAACGACAGCGUCCAAAAGUACAUUUUACACUCUUGACCUCGGAUCAGGUAGGGAUACCCGCUGAACUUAAGCAUAUCAAUAAGCGGAGGA
rnacentral:misc_RNA from 1 species